UACGGGGGGGGGCAAGCGUUGUUCGGAAUUACUGGGCGUAAAGGGCUCGUAGGUGGCCAACUAAGUCAGACGUGAAAUCCCUCGGCUUAACCGGGGAACUGCGUCUGAUACUGAAGAUCUUGAGUUCGGGAGAGGUGAGUGGAACUGCGAGUGUAGAGGUGAAAUUCGUAGAUAUUCGCAAGAACACCAGUGGCGAAGGCGGCUCACUGGCCCGAUACUGACGCUGAGGCACGAAAGCGUGGGGAGCAAACAGGG
rnacentral:rRNA from 1 species